rnacentral:rRNA from 1 species
GAUGAACGCUGGCGGCGUGCUUAACACAUGCAAGUCGAACGAGAAAUGGAGACGGACACCUUCGGGCGGAAGGCUUCAUUUCGAGUGGCGGACGGGUGAGUAACGCGUGGGUAACCUGCCUCAUACAGGGGGAUAACAGUUGGAAACGACUGUUAAUACCGCAUAAGACCACAGCACCGCAUGGUGCGGGGGUAAAAACUCCGGUGGUAUGAGAUGGACCCGCGUUCGAUUAGCCAGUUGGCGGGGUAACGGCCCACCAAAGCGACGAUCGAUAGCCGAUCUGAGAGGAUGACCGGCCACAUUGGGACUGAGACACGGCCCAAACUCCUACGGGAGGCAGCAGUGGGGAAUAUUGCACAAUGGGGGAAACCCUGAUGCAGCGACGCCGCGUGAGUGAAGAAGUACUUCGGUAUGUAAAGCUCUAUCAGCAGGGAAGAAAAUGACGGUACCUGAGUAAGAAGCCCCGGCUAACUACG